rnacentral:rRNA from 1 species
GACGAACGCUGGCGGCGUGCCUAAUACAUGCAAGUCGAGCGAAGAGAGUUGGUACUUGUACCACCGGCAUUAGCGGCGAACGGGUGAGUAACACGUGGGGAACCUGCCUAUGAGCGGGGGACAACAUCGGGAAACCAAUGCUAAUACCGCAUAAUAUCUUUAACCACAAGGUUCAAGAGUGAAAGAUGCAAUUGCAGCAACCAAAAGUGAUCCCGCGUUGUAUUAGCUAGGUGGUGAGGUAAAGGCUCACCAAGGCGAUGAUACAUAGCCGACCUGAGAGGGUGAUCGGCCACCAUGGGACCGAGACCCCGCCCCAACCCCUUCGGGAGGCCGCAGUAGGGGAUCCUCCGCCAUGGACCGAAGUCUUACCGGGCCACGGCGGGUGGGUGAAGAAAGUUUUCCGAUCGUAAAACCCUUGUUGUAAGGAAGAACGUUGUGUGGAGUGGACAGCGCAUGAAGUGACGGUACCUACCCAGAAAGCGACGGCUAACUACGUG